rnacentral:rRNA from 1 species
GGCCAUACCCGAUCCCAUCCCGAACUCGGAAGUCAAGCUCUUUUGCGUCGAUGGUACUGCAUGGGAGGCUAUGUGGGAGAGUAGAUAAUCGCCGGCU